CCUAGGGUUCCGCCGUCACCUUAACAAACCUUCGUAGUUCUUCCAAUUACUUAUGAAUUACACAUGCAUAUUUUGAAGGUUAGGUUUCCUAAAAUAUGCCUACUUGGACCCCCAUUAUAGAGCGUAUAUCAAACAUGCAACCCGUAUGUGGUAGAUCAAAUCUAAACAUGCAUGACUCAUUAAGCUUUGUGAAACCUUUUGAAAAACCAUACAACCCUUAAGACGUGAUAUUCCUCCUAAGUGAACUUGCACAUAUUAAUCACAAGAAGCCUUCGUCAAUUUCAGGCUCCGACCAAAAUUGCAUCAAAUUACUUUUCUAAAGAUCCUAAUGGUAGCUAAGCAUUAAGACAAUUAGAUAGUUUAAACCGGUGAUUAAUAAUUCAAACAUGCAUGCAUAAUAUCAUAAGCAAAUUGAAAAGAAACUACAUAUUCUUGUUAAGGCUCGUGGCCUCGUCCUAGCAAACAAGAAUUAGUUACUAACAACCAUACAACGAAAUUUUAUUAAAAACAAGGAAGGAAAACACCUUGAAAAUAAACUUGAAUUGUCAAAAGCAAUUCUCCAAAUAGUGUGUGCGUUCUCUCCCUUCCCCCCCCCCUUCUAUUAAUGGCUAAAUAUCUUAUUUAUACUAAUACAAAAUUAAACCCUAAAAAGUCUUAGAGUAAAACUAGGAAACAUAAUUAAAUAUUAAAACAGAAAAUAAAAAGGUUUCCUAUUUGAACUAAUAUUUGGACUUCUCAGAAAAUCAGUUUUUGACCAACCAAAUCAACUCUGAUUUGGUCCCAAAAUAUCUCUUUUGAAAGCUGAAGUCGUCCCCUACAAAUCCUCAGAACGAAUCUUCCUCAAAAUAUGCCCGCUUGACCUUCAAAAUACCUAAAAUGUCCAGAAACGUCAAUUUGGGAAAGCUGCGCGUUGGGCUUUUAUUUCAUGGCCACGGUCAAACGGCUAAGUAGAAAAAUCUGAAACUUUGAUACAAUCAUUUUGAAAGACUCACGAACAUCCUCUAAUUGGAAUUACUCCAAAAUUCAUCCGUUUGAUCACUUUUUACUCCAGAGGAAGUCGAAUGCCCUACAUUAGAAAUAUAAUUCAAAGUAUCAAAAUUCACACAUAAUAACCAAUAAAUUACUUUAGUCUAAAGAAAGGUUCUCAAUUGGCACUGUAGAAACGAAUAGUGUUUCAAUCCGAAUUUCAGUUUAAUUACAACAAUGCCAUUGCUCUUUGUGUUGGCUUUGGUUGAGUAGCCCGGCUUGCAGCCAGGCCCAAAUGUAUUGGUUUUAGCUGAGAAGCCCGGCCCUCAGUUAGGCCCAAAAGUUUAAAUUAGAGUUUUGUCCAUAUAAAAUAACAAUCCGAUGGUGAGGAUG
rnacentral:lncRNA from 1 species